UCUGAAGUACCUGUUGCCAAAGGCGCUCAUAGUGACAAACCUUUGGCACUGGUACUUUGGAGU
rnacentral:pre_miRNA from 1 species